CAGAGAUUAAGUGGCCUGUGAGCAGGUCCCAUGGAUGCAUGCCUGGGGGAGACGCGGAGACUGUGAAAUGCUCAGGAGCAAGGUUCGCCUCUCACUCGUCUUUGAUCCUCAGCACCUGGUCCAUCGUCUGGCUGGAUAAAGUAGACAUUUGCAAAGCGCUCCUGAAUGAAUGAGGGAGGCUUGGAAGCAGAUCCUAUAUCUGCCGGGCCAUUCAGGAAAAGAAAUUGCUUUCAUCUCAUGGAAGGACCAGCCCCACAGUGGGACUGGGCAGAGCCCUGUCGCCCAACCCUCAGCAAGCCCCUGAGCUGUCCCCACCAAGGACAAGCCACUGCCCGCGCUCCCUCCUGAGAUGUGCUGCUCUCCAGUCCUCUCCCGGCAGAUGUUCUGCAGAGGAAGCUGCCGUGUUCCACUUUCCUGCGGUGCCUUUGGCUCAGCCCUUUCCAGACGUGCUAACCGGAGGCUGCCAUCCACGGGGGCCUGUGCCUUUGAUCCUGUUCCCCUCUGCUCUUCCCGCUCUGCCAGGAUGCUCCCUGUAGAACUUGCGGUGGACAGUUCCAGGCACAUUCUUUUUCAUGUGACUCAUUACCUGAAUUGCCUCACUCUCUCCUUCAGUGCUGAUUGACUUUUCAAAGGCGACUGCAAUUGGCAUUUUUGCUCAUUUUACAGACAUCCAGAUGCAGGCAGUCUCCAGGGUCAUCAAUGCAGCUCCAUUAAAGGGCUCGAGUUGUUAACUACCAAGUAGCAGAUGCUCAUUUACAUAUUUUGCUGUGCAUUUUAAUGUAAUAUUUAAUUCUCAAAAAUAUAUGUUUCCCAGAGCUUUGAUUUACCCCUCACCAGACACAAUUCUCUUCUUAGGAUGUCAAUGCUCAGGUUAUAAUAUUAUGGCCAUAGGGUCAUGAACUCAGUGAUUUCUAAAAUCUGCCUGCACUCUCCAGUCUUCAAGUGGAGAACCUGACACUACAGAUUCUUGUGACCCCACUUCCUGGGUAAAAGACGGCGGGAAUGGGCUCGGGCAUGUGUAAUUUUCAGGAGCGCCUCAGUGGAUUUUAACUCAUGUCCGGGUUGGAGAGCUGCUGUUUGACAUGACACCAUCAGGGAAUGAGAUGUUCCCUAUUCAUGAAGUCCCCGGUAAAUAUAAUUUACAAAUUCAAGAAUCUAAUCAAUUUAACCAGUUAUGUCUUAUUGUUGUGA